UACUGUCACUUUAAGAGGUAUUUUGUCCUUUUCUUUAAAGAGAGAGAGUUUAUAAGACAGAAGCAUUGAUUUGGCUCGUUACCACCACUUGGGUAAACAGCUUGGUUUUUUUCAAACAGCCUGAAUGGGUGUGGCCAGCUCUGUCAGAUUAGGAUUUCUGGGUUUUAGUUUUUCAGUGGCAUCAGAAGCUAUUGGGGUCUGAACAGAGUUGGAAGCUGCAGCAAAUGUCUCCUGGUUGCUACUCUCUCUGAAUUUUCUCUUGCUUAUUUUUUCCCUCCUGGAUUGGAUAACUACAUGUAAGAAUCUGUGUCUGAAUUUUCUUUGCCAAGAGGAUACAGCACGCACAGAGCGGGAUUAUGAAAGUCUUGUGAUGAUGCGGAUGCGACAGGCAGCAGAACGGCAGCGGCUCAUCAAACAACUUCAAGAAGAUGAUUCUUAAACUUGGCACUGGCAAAUGCUUCAGACUCCUUUCUGUUUCCCGCGAACUGGAAUAAACUGCUCUUUAUUUUUA